AACGAACGCUGGCGGCAUGCCUAACACAUGCAAGUCGAACGAGACCUUCGGGUCUAGUGGCGCACGGGUGCGUAACGCGUGGGAACCUGCCCUUAGGUUCGGAAUAACUCCCCGAAAGGGGUGCUAAUACCGGAUAAUGUCUUCGGACCAAAGAUUUAUCGCCCUUGGAUGGGCCCGCGUUGGAUUAGCUAGUUGGUAGGGUAAAAGCCCACCAAGGCGACGAUCCAUAGCUGGUCUGAGAGGAUGAUCAGCCACACUGGGACUGAGACACGGCCCAGACUCCUACGGGAGGCAGCAGUGGGGAAUAUUGGACAAUCGGCGAAAGCCUGAUCCAGCAAUGCCGCGUGAGUGAUGAAGGCCUUAGGGUUGUAAAGCUCUUUUACCCGGGAUGAUAAUGACAGUACCGGGAGAAUAAGCUCCGGCUAACUCCGUG
rnacentral:rRNA from 1 species